rnacentral:rRNA from 1 species
CCCCUAGAUGUUCUGGGCCGCACGCGCGCUACACUGAACAGUUCAACAAGUCUUAACCUUGGCCGAUAGGUCUGGGUAAUCUUUGAACGCUGUUCGUGAUUGGGAUAGACCUUUGCAAUUAUGGGUCUUCAACGAGGAAUUCCUAGUAAACGCAAGUCAUCAGCUUGCAUUGAUUACGUCCCUGCCCUUUGUACACACCGCCCGCCGCACCUACCGAUUGAAUGGUCCGGUGAAAUCUCGGGACGGCGGCUCGGUCGCUUGCGUCCGACUGCUGAAACUUGAUUAAACCAUAUCAUUUAGAGGAAGGUGAAGUCGUANCA